AAGAGCAUUCUGAAAGGCCCCUCACAUUCUGCUGGCCAUCCAGCGCCAGUUCUGAGCAGGCCGACAGAUCAAAACAAACAAACAAAUGAAAAAGGCAGAACUUUCCAUUUCUUAAAACUAAAUGGAAAAUUUGGGAUUUUUUAAAAAUGCAUUUCAGAUUCUUAUUGGAGGAAAUAUUUCUGGUAAUACGGUCUUGGAAGAUGAUUUCACAACCCUUGAUAGUAGGAAAUGGCUGCUUCACCCUGGAGGCACCAAGAUGCCCGUGUGUGGCUCUACUGGUGAUGCCCUGGUCUUCAUUGAAAAGGCCAGCACCCGUUACGUGGUCAGCACAGACGUUGCCGUGAAUGAGGAUUCCUUUCUACAGAUAGACUUCGCUGCCUCCUGCUCGGUCACAGACUCUUGUUAUGCGAUUGAAUUGGAAUACUCAGUAGAUCUUGGAUUGUCAUGGCACCCAUUGGUAAGGGACUGUCUGCCGACCAACGUGGAAUGCAGUCGCUAUCACCUGCAGCGGAUCCUGGUGUCAGACACUUUCAACAAGUGGACCAGAAUCACUCUGCCUCUCCCUCCUUAUACCCGGUCCCAAGCCACUCGUUUCCGUUGGCAUCAAC
rnacentral:sRNA from 1 species